rnacentral:rRNA from 1 species
CCUACGGGUCGCACCAGCGGGGAAUAUUGCACAAUGGGCGCAAGCCUGAUGCAGCCAUGCCGCGUGUGUGAAGAAGGCCUUCGGGUUGUAAAGCACUUUCAGCGGGGAGGAAGGCGGUGAGGUUAAUAACCUCAUCGAUUGACGUUACCCGCAGAAGAAGCACCGGCUAACUCCGUGCCAGCAGCCGCGGUAAUACGGAGGGUGCAAGCGUUGAUCGGAAUUACUGGGCGUAAAGCGCACGCAGGCGGUCUGUCAAGUCGGAUGUGAAAUCCCCGGGCUCAACCUGGGAACUGCAUUCGAAACUGGCAGGCUAGAGUCUUGUAGAGGGGGGUAGAAUUCCAGGUGUAGCGGUGAAGUGCGUAGAGAUCUGGAGGAAUACCGUGGCGAAGGCGGCCCCCUGGACAAAGACUGACGCUCAGGUGCGAAAGCGUGGGGAGCAAACAGGAUUAGAUACCCCAGUAGUC